rnacentral:misc_RNA from 1 species
AAACAAUAUCCUUGUCUGCAUGGAUUGAAAACCAGGCAUCCAUGAUAGAAAUGCCAAAGGAGCCAUAACAAUUAACCCAAGCAUCAUGUCAUAUAACCGAGCCAAUGACACAACAGUGCCCCAAACCAAAGUAGACUGCAAAAAGGGCCGGAGCACUAGGGCAAUUUGGAUUAUGCCCCACCCAGUUGGAAUAAAUGCCAACAAACUUGUGAUCAAGUCAAACAGCGUAAACAGGGUGAACCUCAACAAUAUAACAAUCACCAAUACCGUGACUAGAAUGACAA